rnacentral:rRNA from 1 species
GAUGAACGCUAGCGAUAGGCCUAACACAUGCAAGUCGAGGGGCAUCACAUGAAGUAGCAAUACGGAUGGUGGCGACCGGCGCACGGGUGAGUAACACGUAUGCAACCUGCCUUCAACAAGGGGAUAACCCGUUGAAAGACGGACUAAUACCCUAUAACACAGGGGUCCCGCAUGGGAAUAUUUGUUAAAGGACAACCGGUUGAAGAUGGGCAUGCGUUCCAUUAGCUAGUUGGCGGGGUAACGGCCCACCAAGGCAACGAUGGAUAGGGGAACUGAGAGGUUUAUCCCCCACACUGGUACUGAGACACGGACCAGACUCCUACGGGAGGCAGCAGUGAGGAAUAUUGGUCAAUGGACGCAAGUCUGAACCAGCCACGUCGCGUGAAGGAAGACGGCCCUACGGGUUGUAAACUUCUUUUAUACGGGAAUAAAGUGCCCCACGCGUGGGGUUUUGCAUGUACCGUAUGAAUAGGAUCGGCUAACUCCGUGCCAGCAGCC